AGGUCGGGAGCCCCCUUUGGGUCGGGGGCAGGAAUAGACCGAACCCCUCUGUUUCGUCAGGGCACAGCCGCCGGCACCCAACGGUGAUUGUC
rnacentral:ncRNA from 1 species